UCGGCUAUUUCUUCUAUGUUAAUAAUAAGCUCCAACAUAAAAUUUUAAAAAUUAAGAAAACACAAAAAAAGUAAAUCGGCAAUUACAAAAAUUAAGAUAAAAUAAGUGAUAGGAACAAAAAGAAGGACGCCAUAGGCGGCCCCAAUCGUUUCACUUGUUUUCCUUCUAUCCACAAUAUUCUAAGGAUAUAUGUCAUGUAUUGACUCUAUUUGAUGGUGAUGAGACUCCAUCUUUACGAGUCCCGAAGACUCCAUAUGUGGGUAUUGGAGUCUAGCAUUAAGACUCCAUUAUGCUCCAAAAUGUACAUGUAAAGGAAGAGAGAAAUAAACAAUUGGCAAAAUAACGUAAGAGUUCAAUUAACAUAUGCAAGGAUAAGAAGGAUUAGAGAGUGGAACUUGAUUCUUAACAAUAUAUCAAGAUUAAAAUAUGCAAAGACGUCCUAGUGUCAAAUUAUUUUAUGAAAUUCCAGCCAUACUUCUUGUCAUCAGACAAACACACAACUAUAGGAAAGAUAAAUAUUUCCAGCUAUUUAUUUAGACUAGUAGCAAAAACUCUCAAAUGACUAAAAUAUAAACUUCCAAUGAUAAUCACACAGCAACAUGGACAUAUUUCAUCAAGACGUAAAUUUUAUCUUAACAAAGUCAUCGACACUUUUAAAUCCAAAUACUAACCAGCAAAAAGAAAUAGGCACAAAAGUUCUAUAACUAUGUUUCCUAAAGAAAGAAUUUUGGAUACCUAAUACUAAAGUAAAUCAAGUCUUCACUUAACAGUGUGCAUUUAAAUAAAUCUAUUCUUAAACAAAUUGUGAAAUUUUAAGCACGAUAUUUAGGAAAAAGGUUUUGAAUCACAAUGGCAAAUAAAUCUUUUACAGGGCAACUAGUUCAUGAUAAAAUCCUUCUUAAAUUUAUGGCAUCUAACAGAGAAGUAUGCAAAAGGGAAUAAGUAUUUUCAUGUGAGCAUUUCAUCAAAUAUAUGUCGGGCAUGCUUUUAACAAUACACACCAGAACAUAAUCUCCUUACAGGAUUACUGCUAAUAACUUUAGUCACAGAUCAUUCCCUUAAAUAAACAUGUACAUAAAAGCUUAAUAGAAGCUAACAAUCCUCGCAACAAACACGCAUCAGACAUCAAAAAAUCAGAAUCAAAACGAGAGUAAUAGGAGAAGAUACAGACCUUUUGCAGGACAUCGAACUGAGACGGGUUAGAUGCGAUAUCGAACUCCGACCUCAAACUCGCUACCUUAGACGAUUGUUAGUCGCCGGAAUAAGCAAAUAAACCAUUGUAAUGGCUAAAAAUACAAAGAGAGCUAGAGAACUUUGUUUUUUAAUUAGAGGAAAGGAAAUGCAUUAACAGAGGUGGCUGAAAACUCUCGACUUUAGGGUGAAAGUGGGCGGCUCUAGGGCUUAAGGUUAAAGAAGGGGGUCGAAGCUUGUGGGUUUAAAGAGAGGUGCAACGGCUCCAAAAGAUCCUUUUCCAAUAUAUUUCAAAUACAAGUAUUUAUAGGUGAAGAAGUAGGGUUCAUGGGCGGGAUUUUUACCUCUAACGUUUGAAAUUAAGAGCGUGGAGUUUCGAACGGUAAAAUAGUCGUUCAUCAUUUAAUGAGCGAGAUUUGAGCAGAUUUGUUUCAAAUUAAUACCCAAAAUGGUUGGGAUGUUGUGCAGCAAGAAAAAGAAAAAAAAUGGAGAAACUCCAUGUGACCAAAGAGAGAGAAAAGAUCCCAAUUUAGACUUCUUGGAACUGGAUUUGAGGCAAGAAUUCAUUGAAAUUAAAUGAAAAUUU
rnacentral:lncRNA from 1 species